rnacentral:rRNA from 1 species
CCUACGGGUGGCAGCAGUGAGGAAUAUUGGUCAAUGGCCGAGAGGCUGAACCAGCCAAGUCGCGUGAGGGAAGACGGCCCUACGGGUUGUAAACCUCUUUUGUCGGGGAGCAAAGCGAACCACGUGUGGUUCAUUGAGAGUACCCGAAGGAAAAGCAUCGGCUAACUCCGUGCCAGCAGCCGCGGUAAUACGGAGGAUGCGAGCGUUAUCCGGAUUUAUUGGGGUUAAAGGGUGCGCAGGCGGAGGUGCAAGUCAGCGGUCAAAUUGCGGGGCUCAACCCCGUACUGCCGUUGAAACUGCAUGCCUUGAGUGCGCGAGAAGUAUGCGGAAUGCGUGGUGUAGCGGUGAAAUGCAUAGAUAGCACGCAGAACUCCGAGUGCGAAGGCAGCAUACCGGCGCGCAACUGACGCUCAUGCACGAAAGCGUGGGUAUCGAACAGGAUUAGAUACCCCAGUAGUC